AUUGAUGGUCAAUCUAUUCCAAAAAAAUGGUCAAUGUAUUGAUUACACAAAAUAUUACUCCCUGCGUUUUUUUAUAAGUGUCCAGUUUCAUCAAAUUUAGCGUUUCUAAUUGCAGAAAUUAUGAAAGAAUGCCAAAUUUAUUAAUAUAUGAUUAAAAAUAUAAGUCUCGUAGAAAUCAGAAAAAAAAUAUAGGUUCUCGCGUUAAUAUCUGAGUAUAAAUUUAGGUCCUACAUAAAUUAUUAAAGAUCAAGAAACCUUAUUAAUAAGAGGAAAAUCAUAGGACCCGCAGAAUUCACACAAAAGAUUAUGUCCCCGUAUAAAUAUAUGAGUAUAAUACGUAAAAUUAUAAAAAACAAUAAACAACUUUAUUAAUAUAUGAUUAAAAAUAUAAUGCCCG
rnacentral:lncRNA from 1 species